GGGUUCAGAACGUCGUGAGCCAGUUCGGUCACUAUCCGUCGAGGGCGUUGGAAAUUUGAGAGGAGCUGUCCAUAAUACGAGAGGACCGGGAUGUACUUACCGCUGGUGCAGCAGUCGUUCUGCCAAGGGCAUUGCUGGGUAGCCUAGUAGGGAAGGGAUAAACGCUGAAAGCAUCUAAGUGGGAAGCGCACCUCAAGCUGAGAUUUCCCAUUUCUUAAAGCAGGUAAGAUACCUGAGAGAUGAACAGGUAGCAAGGUCAGGG
rnacentral:rRNA from 1 species